rnacentral:tRNA from 1 species
ACUUAAAUAGCUUAAAUUAGAGCAUAACGUUGAAGGUGUUAGGGUGGUAGAUAUAUCUUUGAGUA